rnacentral:rRNA from 1 species
CCAUUAGAUGUUCUGGGCCGCACGCGCGCUACACUGAUGCGUUCAACAAGUUUCCUUGGCCGAGAGGCCUGGGCAAUCUUCUUAAUAUGUAUCGUGAUAGGGAUAGAUUAUUGCAAUUAUUAAUCUUGAACGAGGAAUUCCUAGUAAACGCAGAUCAUCAAUCUGCAUUGAUUACGUCCCUGCCCUUUGUACACACCGCCCGUCGCACCUACCGAUUGGAUGUUCCGGUGAAGCCUCGGGAUGAGGACUGGUGCCUUUAUUGGCAUGAGUUGUUCAGAACUUGUCUAAACCUUAUCAUCUAGAGGAAGGUGAAGUCGUAACA